UUCGACGGUAUGGUAUUGGCUUACCGUGGCAGUGACGGUUAACGGGGGAUUAGGGUUCGAUUCCGGAGAGGGAGCCUGAGAAACGGCUACCACAUCUAAGGAAGGCAGCAGGCGCGCAAAUUACCCAAUUCUAACAGCAUAAGAGAGGUAGUGACAAGAAAUAACAAUACAAGGCAGUUAAAAUGCUUUGUAAUUGGAAUGAUAGAAAUUUAAACACUUUUUAAAGUAUCAAUUGGAGGGCAAGUCUGGUGCCAGCAGCCGCGGUAAUUCCAGCUCCAAUAGCGUAUAUUAAAAUUGUUGCAGUUAAAAAGCUCGUAGUUGAAUUUCUGCUAAAAAUAACCGGUCUGCUUUUAACAAAAGUGGUAUCUUGGUGUGUUUUUAGCAAUAAUGUCCUUUGAAAUGUGUUUUACUUUGUUGUAAAAGACAAUAUUCAGGAUUUUUACUUUGAGAAAAUUAGAGUGUUUCUAGCAAGCUAAUGUUUUGAAUACUGCAGCAUGGAAUAAUAAAAUAGAAUUUUAGUUCUACAUUGUUGGUUUUAAGAGCUGAAUUAAUGAUUGAUAGGGACAGUUGGGGGCAUUUGUAUUUAACUGUCAGAGGUG
rnacentral:rRNA from 1 species